CUAACACAUGCAAGUCGUGCGGCAGCGAGGUUAGUAGCAAUACUAACUGUCGGCGAGCGGCGGACGGGUGAGGAACACGUAGGAACCUGCCCAGAAGAGGGGGAUAACCAAGGGAAACUUUGGCUAAUACCGCAUAAUCUCGAAAGAGAAAAGGUGCCAGCAAUGGUGCCGCUUUUGGAGGGGCCUGCGUCCGAUUAGCUAGUUGGUAGGGUAAGAGCCUACCAAGGCGAUGAUCGGUAACUGGUCUGAGAGGACGAGCAGUGACACUGGGAAUGAGACACGGGCCAGAGUCCUACGGGAGGCAGCAGUGGGGAAUAUUGGACCAUGGGUGGAACCCUGAUCCAGCGAUGCCGCUUGGGUGAAGAAGGCCUUCGGGUUGUAAAGCCCUUUAGGUUGGGAAGAAGUGUGUUGGGUUAAUACCCCGAUGCAUUGACGGUACCGACAGAAUAAGCACCGGCAAACUCUGUGCCAGCCGCCGCGGUAA
rnacentral:rRNA from 1 species